rnacentral:rRNA from 1 species
CCGACGGUGAGGGGCGAAGCUGGGGGCGCAAACCGGAUUAGAUACCCGGGUAGUCCCAGCAGUAAACGAUGCAGCUAUGUGUGCUGAAACCAUGGUCCACAGUGCCAAGGGAACCGUGAAGCUGGCCACCUGGGAAGUACGGUCGCAAGGCUGAAACUUAAAGGAAUUGGCGGGGGAGUACCACAACCGGUGGAGCCUGCGGUUUAAUUGGAUACAACGCCGGGAAUCUUACCGGAGGGGACAGCAGUAUGAAGGCCAGGCUAAAGACCUUGCCAGAUCAGCUGAGAGGAGGUGCAUGGCCGUCGCCAGUUCGUACCGUGAGGCAUCCUGUUUAGUCAGGCAACGAUCGAGACCCGCAGUCUUAUUUGCCAGCAUGCCCUUUGGGGUGUAUGGGUACAAUAAGACGACCGCCAGCGCUAAGCUGGAGGAAGGAGCGGGCUACGGUAGGUCAGCAUGCCCCGAAUCCUCCGGGAUACACGCGGGCUACAAUGGUCAGGACAAAAGGUACCGACCUCGAAAGAGUGAGGUAAUCCACAAACCUGAUCUCAGUCCGGAUCGAAGGCUGCAACUCGCCUUCGUGAAGAUGGAAUCGGUAGUAAUCGUGACUCAGAAUGUCACGGUGAAUAUGUCCCUGCUCCUUGCACACACCGCCCGU